UAUACUGAUAAUUGCUUUCUGGAGUUUAUUGAUUACAUUUCUCAAUUAGUGAAGCGGUGCUGAUCGGUGCCUUAGAUUUAUCUUCCCGUGCAUUUCAACUCAAAUCACUGUUUCCUUAUUUCUAUCAAUUGAUCAGAAAGCAGCGCGUGGAUAUUUUCUUAUUCAAGUGGUGUUCUGUGCAUUUGGUGUCAAUCAACGUUGAAAUCGUACCAGCAGUUCAUUCACGUGAAUUGAAGCAGAAUUGCGGUUUACCGAGCAGCUUAUUGGCAGGUGAAGAAAAUGGAUAUUAGCAGUUCAUGAAUUUGAUUCGUUGAUUUAUUCCUUCAAGCGUUGAUGUUCCACUAUGGUGUAAUUAAAUCCAUUUCAAUUUCCUGAACAAUUAUGGGUGGUCGGUUCAAUUAGUUGAAGCGCCAUACAUAUGCAGACGUUGUUUUUUUCAGUCGUUUUGCUUUAUUCAAAUCAAACUCCUUUGAUUUUUUGGAGACUGAGCUGACGCGUUUGGUGCCUUUUGAUUGACAUUCACGUGAAGCAGUGGAAGCAAAUUUCAAGGCAGCAGCAGGCGAGAUAGCAAUUUUGAUAAGAAAGCAGGUGACUUUGAUUGAAUCAAUAAAUCAACAUUCUCAUCAUACGUCUCAAAUUUUAUGACAGCAAAUUAAAAUUGUGAUCAGCUUCAUUUUAUAAAUUUUUGUGUCGAUUGCA